rnacentral:rRNA from 1 species
AGAGUUUGAUCCUGGCUCAGGAUGAACGCUAGCGGGAGGCUUAAUACAUGCAAGUCGAGGGGCAGCAUGGGACUUCGGUCCUGAUGGCGACCGGCGAACGGGUGAGUAACGCGUACACAACCUACCCUUAACAGGGGGAUAGCCUCGGGAAACUGAGAUUAAUACCCCAUAAUAUUGAUUGAUUGCAUAUGACAUCAAUUAAAGCUCCGGCGGUUAAGGAUGGGUGUGCGUCCCAUUAGCUAGUUGGUGAGGUAACGGCUCACCAAGGCGACGAUGGGUAGGGGGCGUGAGAGCGUGGACCCCCACACGGGUACUGAGACACGGACCCGACUCCUACGGGAGGCAGCAGUAAGGAAUAUUGGACAAUGGGCGCAAGCCUGAUCCAGCCAUCCCGCGUGCAGGAAGACGGCCCUACGGGUUGUAAACUGCUUUUGUUAGGGAAGAACUCCCCCGACUUGUCGGGGGCUGACGGUACCUAAAGAAUAAGCACCGGCUAACUCCGUGCCAGCAGCCGCGGUAAUACGGAGGGUGCAAGCGUUAUCCGGAAUCACUGGGUUUAAAGGGUGCGUAGGCGGCGGCAUCAGUCAGAAGUGAAAGUUGGCAGCUUAACUGCAAAAUUGCUUUUGAUACUGUGUUGCUUGAAUCAAGUUGAGGUUGGCGGAAUGUGACAUGUAGCGGUGAAAUGCUUAGAUAUGUCAUAGAACACCAAUUGCGAAGGCAGCUGACUAGACUUGUAUUGACGCUGAGGCACGAAAGCGUGAGAGCGACAGGAUUAGAUACCCUGUAGUCCACGCCCUAAACGAUGUUCCCUCGAUGUGUGCCGCUGACGUGCCGCAUCANGGAANCGUANUGACCNNCUGGGGAGUACGACGCAGUGAAACUCAAAGAUGACGGGGUCCGCACAGCGGUGGAGCAUGUGUAAUCCGACGCAAC